AUACGGAGGGUGCGAGCGUUAAUCGGAAUUACUGGGCGUAAAGCGCGCGUAGGCGGCUAAGUAAGUCGGAUGUGAAAGCCCUGGGCUCAACCUGGGAAUUGCAUUCGAUACUGCUUGGCUAGAGUAUGGUAGAGGGUAGUGGAAUUCCUGGUGUAGCGGUGAAAUGCGUAGAUAUCUGGAGGAACAUCAGUGGCGAAGGCGGCUACCUGGACCAAUACUGACGCUGAGGUGCGAAAGCGUGGGGAGCAAACAGGAUUAGAAACCCCAGUAGUCC
rnacentral:rRNA from 1 species